CCUGGUACAUUCGGCCAAAAGAUCUUGAAGCCUUCAAGUUUGGACCCAGCAGUAAAAAUAAAGACAACUUGAUCAUCGUCAAUGGACACAAAUAUUCUACAUGCCUGACCCGUUCGAACGUUUGCCAUGUCUUUGUCAGAAGCUGGAGGAAGUUUCAAAUACAGGGAUGCACAGCAGCUUUUGCUGAGGACUUCACAGCUACACUUUAGUAAUCCGCAUAACCUCAAUCUGCAGAGUUGAUGGCAGCAUCAGCCCUUGUUGGCCACACACCAGCACAGUCAUCUUCCAGUCAGGAAGGCAACUUGGUUUUGGCUACAGAAAUCACCAGUUCCACUCCCAUUGGAUUGGCUGA